GAUGAACGCUGGCGGCGUGCUUAACACAUGCAAGUCGAACGGAAAGGCCCAGCCUUGCUUGGGUGCUCGAGUGGCGAACGGGUGAGUAACACGUGGGUGACCUGCCCUGCACUUCGGGAUAACCCUGGGAAACUGGGUCUAAUACCGGAUAGGACGAUGUUUUGCAUGCUAUUGGUUGGAGUUUUUUCGCGGUGGGGUGUGCUCGCGGCCUAUCAGCGCGUGUGGGGGGGGAUGGGCUACCAAGGCGUUUAGAGGGAGCGGGCGCGAGAGAGGGUACGGCGACAUUGGGACAGAGAGACGGCCCAGACUCCUACGGGAGGCAGCAGUGGGGAAUAUUGCACAAUGGGCGCAAGCCUGAGGCAGCGACGCCGCGUGGGGGAUGAGGGCCUUCGGGUUGUAAACUCCUUUCGCGAGGGACGAAGCGUGUUUGUGACGGUACCGGGAGAAGAAGCACCGGCUAACUACGUG
rnacentral:rRNA from 1 species